GAUGAACGCUGGCGGCGUGCCUAAUACAUGCAAGUCGAGCGAACGGACGAGAAGCUUGCUUCUCUGAUGUUAGCGGCGGACGGGUGAGUAACACGUGGAUAACCUACCUAUAAGACUGGGAUAACUUCGGGAAACCGUAGCUAAUACCGGAUAAUAUUUUGAACCGCAUGGUUCAAAAGUGAAAGACGCUCUUGCUGUCACUUAUAGAUGGAUCCGCGCUGCAUUAUCUAGUUGGUAAGGUAACGGCUUACCAAGGCAACGAUGCAUAGCCGACCUGAGAGGGUGAUCGGCCACACUGGAACUGAGACACGGUCCAGACUCCUACGGGAGGCAGCAGUAGGGAAUCUUCCGCAAUGGGCGAAAGCCUGACGGAGCAACGCCGCGUGAGUGAUGAAGGUCUUCGGAUCGUAAAACUCUGUUAUUAGGGAAGAACAAAUGUGUAAGUAACUGUGCACAUCUUGACGGUACCUAAUCAGAAAGCCACGGCUAACUACGUG
rnacentral:rRNA from 1 species